rnacentral:misc_RNA from 1 species
GGACUACCAGGGUUUCUAAUCCUGUUUGCUACCCACGCUUUCGCAUCUCAGCGUCAAUUACUGUCCAGCAAGCUGCCUUCGCCAUUGGUGUUCCUCCAUAUAUCUACGCAUUCCACCGCUACACAUGGAAUUCCACUUGCCCCUCCAGUAUUCUAGUUUACCAGUAUCCAAUGCAAUUUAGUGGUUGAGCCACUAGCUUUCACACCAGACUUAAUAAACCGCCUACAUGCUCUUUACGCCCAAUAAUUCCGGAUAACGCUCGGGACCUACGUAUUACCGCGGCGGCUGGCAC